CGGAACGGAGCAAUCCGGU
rnacentral:snRNA from 1 species